rnacentral:rRNA from 1 species
GACAGAGGGUGCAAACGUUGCUCGGAAUUACUGGGCGUAAAGCGCGUGUAGGUGGAUUGGUAAGUCGGAUGUGAAAUCCCAGAGCUCAACUCUGGAACUGCACCCGAAACUGCUUGUCUUGAGUCAUGGAGAGGAAAGUGGAAUUCCUGGUGUAGAGGUGAAAUUCGUAGAUAUCAGGAGGAACAUCGGUGGCGAAGGCGGCUUUCUGGACAUGCACUGACACUGAGACGCGAAAGCGUGGGGAGCAAACAGG